GUGCAGACUGGGACAGGAAGUUACCAUGGGGUUUCUGCAAAUGACAGUGGAGCAGAUUGAAGACCAGAUCCCUCCUCCAUGACCCCCAGACUCAGCGAGCUUUGCCCACACACUUCCCAGGCCUGUCACUCGGUUCUGUCCCUGGCAGCCCUCACAGUCUUGGGCCGAAAGCAUUAUGGUGAGUACUCUGAAUGCUCGUGGGGUGGUUUUAUUAUCUUCCAGACAUUGGUGGAUUUCCUCCUGCCAGAAAGCUAGAACACAGGAAGCUACCAGGCUCCAACACUGGAGUAAAAGGGGUUAUUGACAGGCUGACUUGGUAAGUCACAUUAUGGGAGUCCCGUCCUGUCACAGUGAGCACUGCUUACCAGGGCAAUGUAUAAUGCUGACCGUGUACAUGGACCUGGGCUGCUGGUCAUUACAUAUGGAAUUCUGGGGAGUCAUUCUCUGCCACGACUCUCAUAGCCACGCCGUUGAGAGAACACACAGAAGGUCUUUAUCCCAAAACUCUGGACUUCAGGAGAUAUACAGCAGGAAAUGGUGAUCCCUAACUCUCCUCCUGGAGGCAAAAUUUGUGGGGCUUCACUCACUAUCACUCCUAACCAGAGUGACAUUUGAGAUGAAUUGGGUCACUUCCAGGACACCUCUGAUGUGGUGCCCCAGGCACGGGGUGCUUGGUGCUAAGCAGUGGAAUAGAACAAACGGCAGUCUGGUCUUUUGAAAUGAGUUCAAGGGUACCUGGAUGAUGUGGGAGUGAUUUCUUAUUAAUAAAGAAACUGCCUAAGCCCCUUGAUAGACCAACCCUUAGGUGGGUGGAGUAAACAGAAGAGAAUGCUGGGAGAAAGAAGCUGAGUUGAGGAGUCGCCAUGAUUCUCCCACUCCAGACAGGCUCCUUUCAACAGAGUGGCGCCCAGAUGUGAUGGGCUAAAUCCACUUAAAAACCUGAGAGAGCUUAAUUUAAAACAAACAAAAAAAUUAUGAGACUGGAUGUUUGUGUUCCCACUUGGGAUCGGAGGAGAGUGCUCUGAGACCUUGCCGAUGGCUCAGCGCUCCCCGCCUGCACCUGGGCAGAAGGCAGAAUCAGGCUUAGGCAGGCGAAAGAGCAUGGUGGAUUCCUGCCACCAUACAGAGACGUAUUUUCAGACUGUGCAGUGCUCUGCGUGUUGGAUUUGGCUGUAACUUGGAUGAAAAGAGUUUCUGUGCUGCACACUCAGUCUCAGAGUUAAACUGCUGACUUCGGCGCCAAUGUGGACUUGCUGUGUGCCUGGAACUGUGCUCAGCUCAGGGGCACCAAAUGGAUCUGAGGCAGGAGCAGCUGCUCCAUGCUGAACUGUGCUGACCUCAGGCAGGAACUACCGUAAUUGCCAUAAUAACAGCGCAGUUAAGGUUUAGACUGGGCAGGACACAGGCAGUACUGUAUUACCUGUACAUGCAACUUAGGUUUUUAAGAAGUGCUUAACAUUUUAAGAAAUGCUCCUGGAUAGUGAAAAAUUACAGAUUCACAGUAAAAUAGAUUCAGACAUAAAAGACCUUUAUGGAUCACAUUGUUGGAUGAAUGUACGUAGGCUUGGGAAAGAGAAGAAAAAGAAUAUAAAGAAUAAAGUUAAUGUCUUAAAAAGAAGAAGGGUAAAGUCUUUAAAGAGACAGAGUACAGAAGUACAGAUAGUUAUAGAUUGAGAGAAAUAAAGAAAAAUAAGCCACGUAAAAAUGGAAAAUUCACAGAGAGUCUGGAUUCUUUGUAUUAUUGUGUUUUCUUUAAAAUUUUUGACUGUGAAGGAGCUAAGUACAGAGAGACAUUUCAUUAUAUGGGCUGCCAAGUGGAACCAAAACGGAUAUCAUGAGGGUAUGACUUCAGAAUUUGGGUCUAAGGAUAUGAUGCUUUGGAAAGGGUCUUCUUUUAUUUUCACAGAGGAUGAGACUCUAUGGAUUUCUUCUAUCCCAAUUUGGUAUGAUAGACCACGUCCUCCUGAAAGAUUGCUGUGAACACCCUCAAAAAAUUACUUCACUCAACUUCCAACUGAGAUGAACCUGGCACACAGGUUACACCCUAAAUGAUCUGAUUAACAGUGCCCCCAUUCAGCAGGAAGCAGUUUGGAGAGAAAAAACUACGCCCAUAUUCCCAAAUAUUGUUUAUAAAUGUUCUUUUACAUUUAAAGGGGGAUAUGAUAUAGAUAUGAAUAAUUUGCAUUGGUAUGGAUUUUAUGGUCAAUUUUGUUAUAUGUGUAUGUAUUUUUGAUCUUGAUUAAGGUAUUGUGAUUGUGUAGUUCAUUUAAAAAUGUAAUGUAUAAUUAGGAAAUAUAGGUUGUUAAUGGAUAAUCAUCACUAAUAGUUAAGCUUGUAGUCAUGUUAAUUAGAUUUUCUAGAUAUAUAGAGAUAUAUUUCAAUUAGAUAGGCAUUCUUCAUAUCUUUCAAAGACUGCAGAAUAUGGCAUUUUAAAUGUUUUAAUAACUUAGGACUUUUCAUGACAAUGAGACAUGUCUGCUUCUGGCAGCACCAGCUACUUUGAGAGGAAGAUGGGCAUCGAAGAGGAUCCUUAUGGAGUUGGAUAGUCAUUUGGGCAAGAAACUGCUCUUGCCUGGACUGUUGCAUAAACUGAACACAGAGAACCCUCAGAGAGAGGACUGCUGAACUUGCCUAAAGGUGAGAUGGUCUUUCGGGGUUCCUGCUUCAUGAAAGAGUCUGUGAGACAUUCUGCAGGACACAGCAGAAAGUGACUGAACUGUCUUUGGAAUUUCCUGCUUCGUGGAGGUGUCUGCUGGAUACUAUGGGCCUGAAGGCUGAAGAUGGAUGUCCCAACGGUACAAAAGAACUUUGGGUGACCGUCCAGGCAACGAGAUGUCUCUGUCGUUUAUUUCUUAUUUGCUUAGGUAAUAUUAUAUCCUUCUGGAGUCUUUGAUGGAGUUGAAGAAUGAAUAGAUAGUUAUAGUUUUCCUUAGUUAUAAUAAAAGAUAAAAUAGAUAUAAAUAUUGUAACUGUAAUUCUUGCUUGAUAACUGUUUUGCUAUAUGUAAUUUUACUAUGUUAAAAUGAAAUCCUUCUUUUUUGUUUAAACAGAAAAAGGGGAAAUGAUGUGGGAGUGAUUUCUUAUUAAUAAAGAAACUGCCUAAGCCCCUUGAUAGACCAACCCUUAGGUGGGUGGAGUAAACAGAAGAGAGUGCUGGGAGAAAGAAGCUGAGUCGAGGAGUUGCCAUGAUUCUCCCACUCCAGACAGACGCAGGUUAAGAUCUUUCCUGACACUGAAAGGGAAGUUCAAGGGCCCAGGCCCAACCUCCGACGGAGCGCCAUCUGGUGGAGUUGCUCUUAAAUACAAGCCCUUUGGCAGCACGCCCACUGCCUGAUUUUAAGCAUUGGCUCAACCAGACUAUGGAUCUGCGAGUGUUACCCUCAACCUUGUUGGACACAGUGAUUCACCUACUUAUCAAACACACAUUCACUGUUGGCCUCCAGAGUCCUGUCCUGCGUUAGGCAUGACAUAUGUACCAAUGAAUCAAAAGUCAAGGCCGCUGCUCGCAACAUGGCCUGUGUUAUGGUAAGUAUGUUGCACACACACGCUAAAGGUUCUGGGAGAGGGGAGUGUGUGUGUGUGUGCACAUGAGUGUGUAUGUAUUCAGUCAGUUCUCAUUACUGGUAAAUCCCAUAUUAGUCUCUUCACAAAGAUGAACUCACAAUCUCAGGGCUCUCUUCUGCAUCAUUUGAAACACGGAGUGGUUCAAUUGUGAAUCACCCUAUAUGCCCGAUUCUGUCUAUCUUCAUCUUGUGUUCAUGUCUUAACUGAUCUAUCUCCCCAGUCCACGUAGUCCCACAGUUUUAUAUUUUUAUGGUGAUUUUGCUCUUCAUAGUGCCAAGUGCUGUCUCGUGUGUAAAAGUACAGGAUGGCUGAGAUGUGUCUUCUGGAGAAAACAUGAGUUUCAGAGAAGGCUGUCAUAGUUCCGUGUUAGUGAGCAACAACAGGUAUUAAAGGUCUUUAAAUAAAACAUAUGAAGUAGGGCUGUGUGUUGACUGUAAUAAAAGAAAACUAGGCCAAAGGAUUGUGGAGGCCAACGUGGGCUUCCCUUGGGGCAAUGACUGAAUAUUGUCAAUUCAGUCUCCAUGGUGACUUAUGUCUACUUUGACCGGCAAUCAUUGACUGUGUGGGCUUGAGUGUGAGAAGCCCACAUGGCCCUGGACAGGGCUACCAUGGACACACAUCCCUAUGGCUGCUGGGCAGGCUCUCCAGUGAGUCAUACACACAGAGAAGAGGAGGGGGUUAGGAAUGUUGGAAGACUUUUCUGGCUGGUUGGAGGCCACAGUCUGCCAUAGCCUGACAGCUUCUCUGUCUCAGAAAUAUGGAAACUGCCUCCUUCUCCAGCAAGGCUUCUGGCUCUCUGUCUUCCUGUAUCUGGAGAGUGUCUCUGGGUCUGGAAAACUGACUCUAAACCUGAUGCCUGACUCAUCUUUAGCUUGACCCUUGGCAAAGAUCACUGCUGAGAAGACUUGGAAUUGAACUCUGCUGUAGGACCCCACUGCUGUGGACUAAGCCUGUGACAGGAGUGUGCCACUUACUGAAAAUUUGGGCUUGUCCCCAGGUCCCCAAUUCUGUAUAUUCCUUAUACUCUGGAAUAAAACUGCACUGAUUCGCUGGAAUCUGUCUCCGUCAGUGCUCAUGGGCUGGAUACAGAGCUGUGUGGCCCCUUUUUCCUCUUUCCCCUCUCAGACUGAUGCCUGACAGGCCUGGAGGGGAAAAAGGACCCCCAUAGCAAAGCUGUCUCCCCUCACUGCAAGCACCCACAUUGCUGAGGGAAGGGGGAGCAAUUGUCCAUUUCUAGGGUGAAUGAGAAAGUCAGUCGCAUCACGGGAGGUUUUAGUACUGAACUUUCAGAGAUGGUAAUGAUUUUAGAAAUAAUUUCUUUAAUUUAGCCCACUGUCUAUUUCCCUACCCUAACCAGAACCACCUUGCCUUGGUGACUGCAAAAGUAUUUCUUAUCGUAUUCAGCAAUGGAGUAAAGGAUGGGGACAUGUGUCUGUCUUCCUUCCCACAGAGCCUAGGUGAAAGAACACGGACAAGGGACAUCAGCUGAGAGAGUUCCUAGAGCUCUCCAAAGAGAAAUCAAUCCAAGAAGUAUAGUGUCCAAGGUUAAGGACCCUAUAGCCAGCUAUGUAAAAACACUCAAAGCU